rnacentral:rRNA from 1 species
UACGUAGGGGGCAAGCGUUGUCCGGAUUUAUUGGGCGUAAAGAGCGUGUAGGCGGCCAUACAGGUCAGCUGUGAAAACUCGAGGCUCAACCUCGAGACGUCGGUUGAAACCGUAUGGCUAGAGUCCGGAAGAGGAGAGUGGAAUUCCCGGUGUAGCGGUGAAAUGCGCAGAUAUCGGGAAGAACACCCGUGGCGAAGGCGGCUCUCUGGGACGGUACUGACGCUGAGACGCGAAAGCGUGGGGAGCGAACGGG